GAAGAGAACAGGUAGUUGCUGCUGUCUUUUUUGUUCUCUUACUGAGGGGUUCGCGUUUUUAAAGGGGUUUACGACCCAAGAGGCGAUACAGAUGUUGAAGUAAACAUUGCCUGGGAAGGUGUGCCGUUGUAAAGACGAAUGCUCCAAUCUGACUACGUCUAUAACCAGUACUACACCGAAACUAUUUAACUGCUCCAUACGAAGGCAACCCAGCCCGUGAUAUGUCCUCGAGGAAUUGUGAUAGAAGUGUCAAUAUAACAAAGCAGCGUGGGACAGGACAAGAGUGGAGGAGGACGACGUGCAUAGGCAAGAGUAACAUUCAUGUCAGUCGUCUCAGUUUGUACUGCUUCGUCCGAUUUAAGGCCAACACUAGCUGACCUAUUGGGGAGCUUCCAAGAUCCUGGCCUGGCCCUCAAAACUCAAGCACACCAAGACCUUCCUCUAGAAGACAAGAUAACAUACCAAAAUCUGAAUGGCUGACCUGUCUGCUACCAUCACCUUUGGGGCAUUAGAGUUUGUAGCACCACAGCCUACACAACCACAUCAGAACCUCAAGAACAAGAACAAGAACCUGCAAGGAUUUAAAGGAGAGUGAAAAAAUUCCAUCAUCGACAGUAAGCAGUUGGUGUUGCUCAGCAUGCUGCAACACCACAGCUGCCUGACAAGGAACGGCCAUUACAGCCAUGCCGUGCAGUGCUCCUUGUGUGGUCUGACCCUCAAGUUGACCAUGCACAGCCAGCAUCAGUGCACCACUACUGCAAGGCCCAUAACUGCUAAGCUCACAGUCUGGGGACUCUUCAGGAACCACUAAGAGACAUGGUAUUAUGUUAUCCUCAGCAGUCACUCAUCAAAGAUCUCAAGAAUUUGCUAGCUUAUUUCUCAACCAGUUUAUAUUAUUGAUGCUGUUGCUACUAGACUGACCUUGAGUGAUCCUUGCUAUUGCUGAUGCUGCACCUGACCUGCAGCCCCACCCAAGUGCUGCUGGAGGACAAGGCUCAGCAUCCACAGGCCCUGCUUGACAGAGAUGUACUAGAGGAGCUGGACUGGACAGCCUACCUAAGGGACUACAAUUCACUGUUUGAGUAAUUGUAAUUGUAAUUUAAUUGACAUGUAAUUAAUUUUAGAAAGUGAUAUAAUUGUAAUUAUAAAAUGAGAAUUUAAGGAAUUAAUUAUAAUUGCAAUUAAUUAUAUCAAAAUAAUUGAAAUUUAAUAGUAAUUGUGGAAAAGCAAAGUAGUAGUAAAAUUCUGAAUAGCUGAUGAUAAUUAAAUGUAAUAGCGAAUUGUAUGGAAAACUGACUGCCAUUUAGAUAUACAUAAGCCUACUAUCUACAGUUCCUUUGAAAGUGAAAGGUUAAAUUGAUUUUUCUACAAAUUGGUUACUUAAGUUUUCACCGUUUUUUGUUGAAAAGAACAAAAAUACAAAAAAUUAAAUCUUUAGUUAAUUUUCUUCCAAUUUACAUUUAUUUUUACUUUUGUUUUAAAUAAAGAGCAAAAUUUCUAACCACAAUAAAUUUGCAAAUUUAUUUACAAAUUCGUUAAAUAAUUUGCACAUUUGUUCAAUAAGUGACAACCACACAAUACGUGUGUUUUUCUUUUUAACAAUUUUUUUUGUCCGGAGUUGGGAAUUUGUAACUGUAACUGUAAUUAAGAUUUAUUUUAUUUUGUAGUAAUUGUAACUGAACUUCCCAGGAGUAAUUAUAAUUAUGAUUAUAUUUUUUUAUUUUUGUAAAUGUAAUUGUAAUUGAAAAUUUGAAUUGUAAUAACUCCAACCCAGGACUAUAUAUGUGGUCCUGAGGAGCCUCUUUCAGUGAGUCUCAUGUUUGUGUUACCAGCAGGCAGGACUUGGGUGCCUGCUGUGUGUGGAGGCAUUCCUGGUGGAAAGCACCAACUCAUGGUUAGUUUGAUCUUGCACACUCAUACAACUCAGCUCAGUUCAGAGAGGCAGAUAUCCAUGAGUAUCACAUAGCACCUGUACUCAUACACUACCAUGCACUGUUAGGAAAAACAGAACCUAAUACUCAUACUCUGAAUAUUUGCAACAACAUACAGCCAAUGUAAGAUUGUAAAUGUUCAAAAUGUGCCAGAAUGGACAAAUUUUCAUAUUCUAUAGUGUCUAUAUUCCUGAAUGAGUUUCACUAGAAAAAUUAGAUUAUUUAAGUUCAAGAAGAUUCACAUGAUAAAUAGAUUUAUGUGAUGAAAUUGUUGAUUUUAUUAAUAUAUAUGGAUACAUUAAUGGUGAUGAAAUAAAUUUUUCCCCACCAACCUUUAGAUGACUGAAGAGGAAUCUGUGUGCCUGACAAGGAUGGAGUAAAGUGGCCUUCAUACUACCCAGGGACAACCUGUAGAUGCACCUUUUCUGGCAUUGGUUGUUACCUCCCAGAAGCACUUCCCUUCCUUCCCUCUCCUUUCGCUGUCAUUUACAGUUCUGAGGUGGAAUUAACACCAAGGGUGAGCCACAGUGUUAUGUCUUAGGUUAUCAAUGCUUCACCAUCCCUUUUCUUGGAUUAGUGCCAGAUGCCAUAACUGAGGGAAGCCUGUAGCUGUCUGCUGGCUCUGCCGGCUGGGCUCUUCCCUGCAUCACCACUCACACCAUCCCAGGUGUGGAGACAAGGAAAGACUGCAGAAAUCUGGCAACAGUUGAGAGGCAACCCCUCACCGGAUCCUGAUGAAGACACCAGUUGCAGUAACCUGCCUGUCUGACCUGUGCUUUCCCAGAUCAUAAAGGAAGUUUGGUGUGUGACUUCUAGCCUCAGUCAGUCCCUAUUAACAUUAUAAGCUGCAGAAUAAAAGAAGCAAUUAGAGA